rnacentral:rRNA from 1 species
UACGUAGGGUGCAAGCGUUAAUCGGAAUUACUGGGCGUAAAGCGUGCGCAGGCGGUUUUGUAAGUUUGUCGUGAAAUCCCCGGGCUCAACCUGGGAAUUGCGAUGAAGACUGCAAGGCUAGAAUCUGGCAGAGGGGGGUAGAAUUCCACGUGUGAGCAGUGAAAUGCGUAGAGAUGUGGAGGAACACCGAUGGCGAAGGCAGCCCCCUGGGUCAAGAUUGACGCUCAUGCACGAAAGCGUGGGGAGCAAACA